AAAAAAUCCCCUCGUCCGAUCCCCAACCUUCCCCCGAUCCCGUCGCCGCUGCUGCCUACCCCGCCUCCUACCGGUGCGCUACCACUCCCGCCUCCUUCCGGCGCGCCGUCAUCCCCGCCUCCUACCGGCGCGCCGCCGGACCCUCCUUCUUCCCUGGAGCACCGCCACCCCGCUGCCCUCGCCAUCUUCCCGAGCGCGCCGCUGCCGCCGUCUUUCCCAGAGCGCCACAGCCCCGCCACCCCCGCCCACGGGACCAGUGGUCCCAUCGCCGGUCUCCCCCCACCCAGAUCUGCCGGAGGCGCACCGGAUCCUGCCUCACGGCCGGUUCCUGCGACUCGGCCGCCGCCCCAACCGCUGCAGCAGCCGAACACCUCCACUAGGUGCCCCGGCGGUUCGGACCCCCACCUGGCCCCUCCCUCGAACCCAGCGAGCCUCCGCCCCGACCUACUUCCCGCGCGAGGUCGCCUCCGCCUCCUCCUGGCGCACCGCCGCCCCCACCAUCUCCACCUCCGCCUCCGCCGAUGCCUCCUUCUCCACCUCCGUUCGCAAGCGAUGGCGGCCGUGGUCUUCACCCCCAGCCACCAUGGCUGCAGAUCCACCCACGGCCGGUCGUCUAAGCUUCAAGCAUGGAUGGAUGGAUUCAGGAAGGUAUCCUUCCUCCCUGGGUGGAGCGAGCUGCAGAUCCCGUCCGGCCCUCCGGAACCGGCCAUCUCCGCCUCCUCCUCGCCGCCGCCGCUGGGGAUCACGUCUUCACCAAACGCGAGCUCCGCCCCAUCCGACCGACCGCAAAGGGAGAUAGGACAUGGCGGAAACAAAACUGCACGGCGAUGUGCAUUUCUGCAACACAUCAGGUCUACAUUUUCCAUUGCCCUGGACUUAUGAACGGAAGAAAAAGCAAUAUGAAGUUCCUGUCUGCAUCAAACUGCUUUCACUUAUAUUCUGCCGAAUUUCUUCCUUCUAUGGGACUGUACAUGGGGAUUAUCUACAAGGGUUAUGUCCUUUGCAGGUAGAUUAUCUUAUAGGACGGGCGAAAUACAACAGAAGAAGCUCCUCCGCUGCUACUCGCCAAACUCCAAGCAAAAAGGACCUUCCACUUUCCUUGCUAAUGGGGCCUCAGUUUGUUCGGAAUCAGAUACAACCAUUUGAUCCAUUAUUGUUCGUGGGCAUCAUAUUUAAAAAAUAUAUUUUUUGGAUUUUGUAAAGUUUGCGGUUAAUAAGCCGGUGAGAGCUGAUGGUUCAGUUAGAUCCUGCAUUUACUUGACCUCUUUCUCUGUCAGGAGGAUAUUCAAUACCAAGAUUUAUGAUUUGGCAUAAGUGAGAUGACAUACAAGUGAGUUUAAUUCGUGAGAGUGAAAUAGCAACAGUUUAAUUAUCAUACCACCGGCAGCUGCACCUCAACUGCGGAAAAAGAAAUCUUGAAGAACCAAGACCACCACCAGCUGGAAGAAGUUUCAUGUAGCUAAUGCCAUCAUCUUUAUAAUAGAGCGGCAACAUACUCCGUAAGUUUUCACCCUACUCUAGGAAGCCAUUUCAUCAGUUUUUGGCUUCUGACACACUCGGAGCAACAAAUUUUGUGCUGCUAAUUGCACUGUCCUCUCUGUUCUCUCUCUUUGCACUUACUUGUGAUUUUUGCUUAUGUCCGCGUACAGAUUUCAUCCAGGAAAUUUAGUCCUAGGGACUUUGAUAUACAAUGAUACACCAAAGCAAGCAAAGAAGCCAAAAGAAGUUAAAUGUUUUUACCUGCUGCUGGCAUCCGAUGAGCAGUUGCAGGUGUCAACCAUAGUAUUGUUAUAUGAAGUGAGAGUUGCAUGUGCUUAUCUGAAGCUUAUACUAAUAAUUUGCCUCCCUAAUUGUGGCUGAUCUGGAGCUCAUACCCAUGUUGGACGAACCAUGGAGAUUGGAGAUGAAGAGCUGAUCGCCGCCCCUGUGUACCUAUUCUGAUUGGAGUUCUUAUUACAGUUACAUGAUCAUGUGACAGCAUGGCAUCGAACAACAUGGCCUUCACCUUAAUGCACCCCAAAGGUGGUCAUCGCCGAAGCACGCCAAGGGUGAGCCAUAACCAUACCGUUGACCCACCGGCGUGGUGAGGACAAAUUGCAUAGUAUCAUGUUUUUCAGUUAAAACCUGAGAACAGAAAGACGUAUCUAACACAGUAUGUAAAAUUUGUAAGCUCAUAUGAAAAUAGCUGAGAUCAAAUUAGGUAAGCACGUUCUUGCAAGCGAUGUAUUUUCUCACUUACGAGAAUUACCAGUUGCAUAUAUAAUAUACUGUAGUAGCCUAUAUUCAUGCACUCUCAUUUUUGCUGAACAAUUCAUGAUCAAUACUAGAUUUUUUUAAAGGAAGCCA